GAACGCUGGCGGCAGGCUUAACACAUGCAAGUCGAACGGUAGCAGGAAGAAAGCUUGCUUUCUUUGCUGACGAGUGGCGGACGGGUGAGUAAUGCUUGGGAAUCUGGCUUAUGGAGGGGGAUAACUGUGGGAAACUGCAGCUAAUACCGCGUAAUCUCUGAGGAGUAAAGGGUGGGACCUCUUGGCCACCUGCCAUAAGAUGAGCCCAAGUGGGAUUAGGUAGUUGGUGGGGUAAAGGCCUACCAAGCCUGCGAUCUCUAGCUGGUCUGAGAGGAUGACCAGCCACACUGGAACUGAGACACGGUCCAGACUCCUACGGGAGGCAGCAGUGGGGAAUAUUGCGCAAUGGGGGGAACCCUGACGCAGCCAUGCCGCGUGAAUGAAGAAGGCCUUCGGGUUGUAAAGUUCUUUCGGUAAUGAGGAAGGGAUGUUAUUAAAUAGAUGGCAUCAUUGACGUUAAUUACAGAAGAAGCACCGGCUAACUCCGUGCCAGCAGCCGCGGUAAUACGGAGGGUGCGAGCGUUAAUCGGAAUAACUGGGCGUAAAGGGCACGCAGGCGGACUUUUAAGUGAGAUGUGAAAUCCCCGAGCUU
rnacentral:rRNA from 1 species